rnacentral:lncRNA from 1 species
GGCAUUUAUAGGGAAAAUGUGUUUUUAUAUAUUUUAUUUUCAGGGGAAACUACUCCCAAAAGUUGAAUCAUGGUAGAACAUGAUUUUACAAAUUUUCUGGAAUUUAUUUGGACCAAUUUGGAGUUCAAACUCAAAAGAUAUCAAAGAAAUGAGAAAAACAGAAAAAGAAAAGGCUAAAAGAAAAGAAAGGGGAGAACCGGACCGGCCCAGUCCGACCGCGCCCGAC